AUUGAACGCUGGCGGCAGGCCUAACACAUGCAAGUCGAACGGUACCAGGAAGAAGCCUGCUUCUUUCCUGACGCGUGGCGGACGUGUGAGUCAUGUCUGGGAAACUGCCUGAUGCAGGGGGCCAACUACUGGAAACGGUCGCUAAUACCCCAUAACGUCGCAAGACUAACCAGGGGUACCUCCUGGCCUCUUUCUAUCAGAUGUCCCCAGAUGGGAUUAGCUAGUAGGUGGGGUAACGUUUCACCUAGGCGACGAUCACUAGCUGGUCUGAGAGGUUGCCCCGCCACACUGGAACUGAGACACGGUCCAGACUCCUUAGGGAGGCAGCAGUGGGGAAUAUUGCACCAUGGGCGGAAGCCUGAUGCAGCCAUGCCGCGUGGAUGAAGAAAGCCUUCGGGUUGUAAAGUACUUUUAGCGGGGAGGAAAGGAGUAAAGUUAAUACGUUUGCUCAUUGACGUUACCCGCAGAAGAAGCACCGGCUAACUCCGUG
rnacentral:rRNA from 1 species